rnacentral:rRNA from 1 species
UGGGGAAUAUUGCGCAAUGGGCGAAAGCCUGACGCAGCCACGCCGCGUGUGUGAUUGAAGGCCUUCGGGUCGUAAAGCACUGUCUGGAGGGACGAAUACUGACGGUACCUCCAAAGAAAGCACCGGCUAACCCUGUGCCAGCAGCCGCGGUAAUACGAAGGGAGCUAGCGUUGUUCGGAAUUACUGGGCGUAAAGGGCUCGUAGGUGGCCAACUAAGUCAGACGUGAAAUCCCUCGGCUUAACCGGGGAACUGCGUCUGAUACUGGAUGGCUGGAGUCCGGGAGAGGGAUGCGGAAUUCCAGGUGUAGCGGUGAAAUGCGUAGAUAUCUGGAGGAACACCGGUGGCGAAGGCGGCAUCCUGGACCGGCACUGACACUGAUGAGCGAAAGCCAGGGGAGCAAACGGGAUUAGAUACCCAAGUAGUCCCUGAGCGGGCUGGCAAGGCGCAU